GUAGGUGGCAAGCGUUGUCCGGAAUUAUUGGGCGUAAAGCGCGCGCAGGGCGGUCCUUUAAGUCUGAUGUGAAAGCCCACGGCUCAACCGUGGAGGGUCAUUGGAAACUGGGGGACUUGAGUACAGAAGAGGAAAGCGGAAUUCCAAGUGUAGCGGUGAAAUGCGUAGAGAUUUGGAGGAACACCAGUGGCGAAGGCGGCCUUCUGGUCUGUAACUGACGCUGGGGCGCGAAAGCGUGGGGAGCAAACAGGAUUAGAUACCCUGGUAGUCCACGCCGUAAACGAUGAGUGCUAAGUGUUAGGGGGUUUCCGCCCCUUAGUGCUGCAGCUAACGCAUUAAGCACUCCGCCUGGGGAGUACGGCCGCAAAGGCUG
rnacentral:rRNA from 1 species